rnacentral:rRNA from 1 species
CCUACGGGAGGCAGCAGUGGGGAAUAUUGCACAAUGGGGGAAACCCUGAUGCAGCGACGCCGCGUGAAGGAAGACGUCUCUCGGUAUGUAAACUUCCUUCAGCAGGGAAGAAAAUGACGCUACCAGACUAACAAGCCCCGGCUAACUACGUGCCAGCAGCCGCGGUCAUACGGAGGGGACAAGCGUUAUCCGGAUUUACUGGGUGUAAAGGGAGCGUAGGCGGGUUCGUAAGUCACAAGUGCAAGCCCGGGGCUCAACUCCGGGACUGCUUUUGAAACUGUUGAACUAGAUUGCAAGAGAGGUAAGUGGAAUGCCUGGUGUAGCGGUGAAAUGCGUAGAUAUUAGGCAGAACACCAGUGGCGAAGGCAGCUUACUGGAUUGUAAAUGACGCUGAGGCUCGAAAGCGUGGGGAGCAAACAGGAUUAGAUACCCCUGUAGUC